rnacentral:rRNA from 1 species
UACGAAGGGGACUAGCGUUGUUCGGAUUUACUGGGCGUAAAGCGCGCGUAGGCGGAUCGCUAAGUCAGGGGUGAAAUCCCAGGGCUCAACCCUGGAACUGCCUUUGAUACUGACGAUCUGGAGAUCGGGAGAGGUUGGUGGAAUUCCGAGUGUAGAGGUGAAAUUCGUAGAUAUUCGGAAGAACACCAGUGGCGAAGGCGACUUACUGGACACAUAUUGACGCUGAGGUGCGAAAGCGUGGGGAGCAAACAGG